rnacentral:lncRNA from 1 species
ACCGAGAGUUUAAAAAUAAUAAUCCGAGAAUAUUAAUAUUGUAAUAUGGAUAAGUACGAAACUGAUAACACACCCAUAAGAUCUGGGGUCACGAGUCUAGAGCCUCUAAACAGACUGAAUAAUCAUAAUAAAAUCUGAAUACUAAAACCAAAAUCUGGGAAAGUAUAUAAUAAUAAUGAAAUGAAGAAAUAAUGAAGAGCAGCCAGGUCCUGCGAACAUCAUGCAGCUACUUCAACGACUCUGAAAAUAGCUCAGGAGACUAGGAGAAUCAGCUAAGCCUCCGGUGUACCUAAAUCUGCACACAAGAUGCAGGGAGUAGGGGUGAGUACUACCGACUCAGUGAAUAAUAAGUAUAGAAAAUGAUUGAAAGUAAGAAAUCCACAAAGUAUCACAACGCAAAGCUAUAACUAACAAUCCUAUAACUUAGCUACAGGCCAACAGCACAACAGUAUCACAACAACAACCAAGUAUCAGAUAAAGAUGCAAUGCAAUGCACAUGAAUUCGCCGCGGAACGUGCAGCCCGAUCCAUUUAACGUCGAAGGCGCUCACUGGGGGUGUGUACACACUCCGGAGGGGCUCCUUCUCCCCAAGCGCAAUAUUAAUAUAUAUAUAUAUAUAUAUAUAUAUAUAUAUCCGCUGCGGAUCGUGCAACCCGACCCAAGAUCAGUCCACAAUAUGCAUAUGAGCCACAUAAACAGAUUCAACUAAAAUUCCCGUUUUUUCCAAUUAUUACGGUGAAUAUAAUUUAAUUAAUCAAUUUCAAAAAAUAAGGUGACUUAGCAUUUCACUUCGGUGAUUAAACAGAGGACUGAGAUCAAUGAUUAUGCAAUCAUCUUAUCACACAGAUAUUCACCCUAGACGAGUACUACAGAUCGGCACGAGGCCCCAAACAUGGCAUUAAGCCCAAUUAUAAAUAACACAAUGUGCGUAUCAGAUUUCAAUAAUUUACUCAGCUCACGAGAUGGACCAUGUCACAAUACCCAAUCAUUUACAACCCCGCACCUGCCAUGGGUGCGAAUCACGCCCUAACAUAGCGGCACGAUGUGAUAAGCCGGGGUUUCAACCCUCAGGCCAUCACCUAUACAAACUACUCACCUUUAACUGGUCGUAGCCUGGUCUGCAAUUCCCUUUCCCUUCAAAUCCUCUCCAACGAGCGUCGAAUCUAUUCAAAACCACAACGAAUAGGUUAUUAUAGGCUAUAUAAGCAUAACCCAAUUGAACUUAUUCGAAAAAUAUUAAAAAUCGCAAAGUUGGUAAAACCCGAUUCCCGGGCUCACUUCUCGAAAAAUUCAGAAAGUUUUAUCUUUGGAUUCCUCGUCUCGCCACGAGUCCGUACAUAUAAGGUUUAUCAAAAAUGAAGUUCGUUUACCCUCUCAAAUCACCAUUUUACUCUCUCUUAGGCUUCAAGCCCUAACCACCAUUUUUGACCUUAAAACCCUUGAAUUUCAUUGUUUAAUCUACUAUUUCACACCAUAUAGACAUAAUCCGAGGCCAAGAAUCAUUACCAGAAAGAAACCCUUGAAACCCUCUUCAAAAUCGCCUACAAUCGUCUCUUCCCGAAGUCCAAAAUUGUUUUUUUAACUUAUGAAAUUGUAAACACUAUUUUAUUAAUCCCCCAGCAAUUUCCGCUUCAGCGAUACAAUGAUCGCUUCCGCAGUCAAUAGACCGCUUUUGCGGUCUCCCUUGAUUCGACUGGGACCGCUUCUGCGGUCCUUAACCUCUUCCGCGGUCUCCGCCUACGCGGUCGACUUGGCAGCUUCUGCGGUCGCCUAGAUGGACCAAGACCGCUUUUGCGGUGGCCGCUUUUGCGGUAAUUCUUCCGCUUUCGUGGAAAUACCAAUAGCUUGUGCAACAGACCUGUUGCAUCGUCAAAAAUCUUCGUUUUCAUCAUUCGAUUUCACCCCGAGGCCCUUGGGACCCCAACCAAAUGCAUAAGUAUGUCCCAUUACUUCAUUCAAACUUUCUCACAACAUAAAAACGCUAUCAUAAACAUCAAAAUCAUCCAAUUUCCACUGAUUCAUGACUAAGUUAAACUAAAACUUUUGAAACUUGCAUUUGCUCCAAAACCCGACCUAAACACCUCCGAAUGAUCUGAAUUUGUACAUAUAUCAAAAAUUACCUAGUGGAGUUACCGCAACUAUCGGAAAUUCAUUCGACUCCCAGAUCAAAAUAUCACCUAUCAACCGAACUUCGCCAAAUUUCUAACUUAGCCCAUUCAAGCCUAAUUCUACACAGGACCUCCAAAUUCAGUUCUGAUUUCACUCCUAAGUCACAAAUCAUCAUCCGAAACUAGUCGAAUCGUCGGAAAUCCAUUCCGAACCCUCUAACUCAUAAGAAAACAUUCGGUUGACUUUUCCAAACUAACUUUCUCUUAAAGAGACUAAUUGUCUCAUUUCUAUCCAAACUCCAUCCGAAUUACUCCAACUCUCCAAUACAUAUAUUGAAACAUAUAAUAGCAUAAAAAAGGAAAAACAGGGUGGAAAUACACGGUACGACGGGUCAGGUCAUUACAACAAAGGAACAAGAUAACAUGUGAACAUUAUCACUAAACAUGAUCUCUAAACAUAAUCACUAACUGAGCAUGCUUAGAGAAAAAUCAAGCCCGAGGAAAACAAAAAGAAAUUGUGAUUUUAUAUGAAAGAGCUUCCAAAACACAACAGGAAGAAAUGAAAUCAAAAGCUGAAGUCCUACAACCCUCUUCUUGACGAUCUCAUAAAAAACUAGAUGGAUCAACUAAACUAACAAAAAUCUCAGCACAUUAGAGUUUCAACAUUCAUCUGAUGCUCAAACUGCUCAGUUCAAAACAGAACAAUCAAGGCAGACACGAUGAGAAAUCCUAAAAAACAGUUGGAACAACUAGAAGUAAAUUUUAGAACAAGGAUGCUAAUCGACUACUUGUGAACGAUUCGAAGUGCACGUAAGCUUCCGAUAUGUAUAAGAGUCUAGAAAGCACAAUCACCUGACCAAACAAUACUGAAUGAGAAGCAAACAUGAUGAGGCAGAUGAACACACAUAGUCAUAUUGUUCCAAUGGAUUUUGAGAUUAGAGGACCAGACGAACAUUCCUUAGCACAUAUAUAAAAUCAUAGAAGAGGCUAAUACAACCAGAACAGAACAACAAAACGAAGCCAAGAUCACCACAUAAAUCUCAGCUAUCACUUUAAACUUCAGCAUGUUUUAUAGUUCAUUCAGGUAUCGAUUUACAAUAGGAAUUAAAGGAAAGAAAAGAAAUGAAAUUGGAUUUAAGAAAUUGAGUUAAUACAUUGACCAAAAGGAAGCAAAUAACAGCUCAAAAUCAACCCUCGAGCAGCAACAACCUCGAAUUUCUCAAAUGUCUCCCAUUUUUAAACCACAAUCCAGAAUUGAAAUGAAAAAGACGAACUCUAUAGGUUUCGAAAAAAACUUUAAACACUAAUCGACAUGAAAUAACAUAAGCACCCUCAGUGAUUUUUUUGUCGUUCUAUUAUAAGAAAUCAAAGAACCAGUAAGACUGAAGAAGAAAUAGAAAACAUCGUUCAAAAUCUUUUCCGGAAAAUCUCUCCCAAAUUCUCUUUGAAAAUAACUAUCUGAAAAUCCUCUCUAUCUCUAAAAAUCCCCCUCUCAAAAACUGAUCCCAGUCCUUUAUGAAAUGAACCCCUGAUGAAUGUGGGCCUCAGUUUGAACGAAAUCAAUCCAAUGCCUCACAUUCAUCCAACGAAUCAUCUCUAGGACCUUCUAAUCGCGUGAGAUGGUUUAAAAUCGGGCGAGUGAGAAUCUUUGGUGUCAGAGACCGUUAAAAAUAACGAGAUGAGAGAAGGGGGAAAGCGUGGGUGUGGGUUUGGAUUCACUCGCUCGAAUUUGGGCAAUCUUUAGGUGUGGAUUCAGUGGAUUUGGAGAAGAACACCGGCUGCGUCUUGGGAGAUUAGGAUUUAGGCAGCCCGUUCAUUUCAUGUUUGUCAAUUGAGAACGGGUUGGGUUGGGGCUAGUUGGGGCGUGGAUUAGGCGGAU